ACAAAAAACAGAGAAAUAUGAUUAGUGGAAUGAUCUCUACUGGAAGCCAUGCGAGCUUCCACACCAUCUCAAAAUCCAAACUCUCAACCCAAACAUCCUUUCUUGAGCCAUAUUCUCACUUUAGCUUCAAUACCCAUUUCCCAAAACCAAGCUUUUCCUUAACAACUCAUUCCAAAUCGGUUAGAACCACCCCGAUUAAGGCCUCCGCCACCGCCACCACUGUUGAUGACCUUUAUAUCAAUGCCCAGAGUUUUUAUGAUUUGCUGGGUAUCUCGGAGAGUGGAACGCUCUCAGAGAUCAAGAAAGCUUAUAAGCAACUUGCCAGGAAGUACCACCCUGAUGUGUCACCUCCGGGCUAUACAGAGGAGUACACUAAGAGAUUUAUUCAAGUGCAGGAGGCUUAUGAGACCUUGUGUGAUCCCAAAAGUAGAGCCUUGUAUGACAUGGAUAUGGCUGGAGGCCUAGACUUGCAGACGAUUUUCUCCACCAGAAAGCGAUCCCGCUCCAACGAGGGAUUGGAUGAUGAUAGAACUGAGUGGGAACAGAGAUGGCAGUCUCAGCUUGCAGAGCUAACAAGGAUGAGUAAACAUAAAGAUAUGGAGAGCAUGAGUUGGGGAGCUAAAAUGCGCAGCCAAAGAAGUUGCAGAAAGUAGAGAGGAAUUAAUCCCUUCCCUAGACCAUGCAAGCUAUGGAUGAAUGCUGUUACCACAGCAAUUUCAUGUUAAUAUUUUCCUUCCUUUGUUUGCAACUCUAGGGAAUCUUUGCGGUCUUAAUUUCCAGCAAACGUAUAUGUAACAAGAGUUUUUCGAACGCCGUUUAGGUUGUUCUUGUUGGUACAAUUCGAAGCGUACUUCUCCAGUUAAUUUUUCUGCAUUGAUUGAACUCAAAUUCGAGAUCUAAACACUACCACUGUACUAAAGCUUAUUGGUUUUCUUAAAUUUGAG
rnacentral:misc_RNA from 1 species